GGAGUAAAAGUCGUAACAAGGUCUCCGUUGGUGAACCAGCGGAGGGAUCAUUACAGAGUUGCAAAACUCCCAAACCAUUGUGAACGUUACCUAUCCCGUUGCUUCGGCGGGCGGCCCGGGCCCCGCGCCCGGCGCCCCCCGGCCCCCCGUGGGCGCCCGCCGGAGGUAAACCAAACCCUUGAAUUGCAUGGCCUCUCUGAGUCCUCUGUACUGAAUAAGUCAAAACUUUCAACAACGGAUCUCUUGGUUCUG
rnacentral:misc_RNA from 1 species